AUAAAAGUAUUCCCAGAGAUGUCUGCAUUGAUGUGAAACAGUUCCCUGACUAUUCUGAUUUGAUCAGAGCUACGCAGCUAGCUUCACAUCAGGCUUUUCCAGGCUUGAUCACUCACAUUUUCAUUAAUUUUUCAAGCCUUUCUCUAAAAUCUGCUUUAUUAUUUAUUUAGGUGUUUCUUUGCUACAAAGAAAUCCAGUGGAAAAUGAAUAUCUGAGCUGCUUAACCGUUUGGCUGGGUCAGGUUGUUCACUAUGUCUCGCUGUCUGCUGUGUAAGUGAAGGCUCAAGUGCUGCUUUGGUUUUUGGCUGGAUGCUGUAUGCCAAUCCACAGAGGUGAACCGGUAGUUAACCCAUGGAUGAAACUGGGCCUGUAGAUGACAUAAACCUCCAUGAUCAUUCAUGCAGCCAAACCUGAGGUUGCCUCAUCUUUUCUCAGGUCUGGAAAGUUGACAAGAAAACCCAGCUGGCCAGAAUGGUUCGUUAAUAGCUGUUGCUUGGGACAUGCAUUUGUAUACAUGUGGUGUUUAUUACUUGUCAGGCUUCCAAAUUAGGUCUUCGUUAUUUAUGACACAGAAGUGUUCAUCAAAAGUCAGGUUUCUCCAUCAGAAAUCAUAUCAUAGCACAGCACAGGACAUUGCUUGGACUGUAAAGAGAAAUCACUUUUGGUGGUUCCUGGCCACUUUGUUGGGUGCAGAAUGUCCUCAUGACAGUGACUGGUGGAGUUGAGCUCCAUAGAGUACAGUGCGGAAAAGUUUUUAGCCUUGCAUGUCAGAAUCUACGUCCAAAUCUUAACCUUCUUGCUCUCCGCAUUCCCUUGCUGUUCUUCCACUGAUGGGAAAAGACAGAGCCUGGAGUGGAAGAGGACAAUUACAAUUUGAGAUUUACUCAUCUAGCUGCAGUUAGGAGCUGCAGUCUGUGGCAGCCAAUGCGGAUGGGAUGUGUAUUCAUAAAUCUUGUAACUGUGAUGCUUUGUGUUGUAGCAUUUGAAUACUUUAAUCAAAAGAGAAAAGUGGCAAGGAGGGUGUAUGGAUAUUAUUUGGAAUACUUUUUAUAAACAGAGUUUAAAGUGGAGAACCUGAUUGGACAGACAUUGCAAUAUCCCAGAGUAGGUUUUGAAGUAAGUGAUUUCAUUGUGAGUAAGAAGUCUUUGAAAUCCAUGUAUGUUCCCACUCACUUAAAUAAAGAGCUCAUUAAAGGUUAGUGGGGAAGAGUUAAAGCUGAAGAUACACUCUUUUGUACCGGCCUCUUGUGGUUCAUCUUCAGUGUAAACUCGUGCAUGGUUAGGUGUUAGUGCUUACGUAAGGUGACAUGUUAUUUGUUCUAACUUUUUUAAAAGUACGAUAAACUGUGGAUCCAGACACAUGACUUCUGUCUGUGAUCUGAGCUUGUAACAUGUGAGCUAGGUCUUGUCCUCAGCUGUUGCAACUCACCUCCUAAGGCUUGUCUCCCGUCAGGCUCAGUACAGCACAUUAACAUAGCCGGUGAAACAUGGGGAGACAAUUUCACCACUUAUUUGUUUGUGUAGACGCAUAGGCAGAUACUGUGCUAUAUUCUUUGCUCCUCUCCUCUGCCCUUCCUUAGAUAGGCUCUCCAGGUGUUCCACCUCUGAUGGGCUCAGCUGUGCCCGCUGAGCGGCCGUUGCAGAACCCUCUAGAACCAGCUGGAACUGGCUGGAACCAGCCAUGUCCAGCUGGGCAGCCCCAGUCUCUCCUCACAGGGGCUGCUGCAGCCAACACCUCACCAGGCAGAUCCAACCAGGGUAGAAGGAGAGUCAGCGUGGACAGGAGUGAUUGGGGGAACAGCAGAAAAGAAGAAAAACCAAAAGCUGAUGUGUAUUUUAAAUGGAUAGGCACAUUGGAUGAGCUUCUAGGAUGAGACUGGCUUGGGAACUGACCGAGGAAUGCUAUUGACAAAUUGUAUGAUAAAACGAUCCUGUAAGUCCAAAGAGACUGCGUCAGACGGCCUGGAGAAGGAGAGGGCUGCACAGCUGAAUUUACAGGAGAGGAGGUUGUGCUGGCCAUGUGAAGAACCAGAGAAAGUCCAGCUUUUAUGGUGCCAAUGAAGAACUGGAGUCCAGGAGCGAGCAUGGACAGAGAGCUGUUUAAAGUACCCAUUUGGAAAGCUGAAGCAUCAGGUAUGUCUUGAAUACCACUGUGUUGUGUCAGGGUUUCGUUUGGAAAAAUAAGGAGGAGUUCCUUCUUUAGGCAGGUGGCUCAAAAGCAGAUGUUUGCUCUUCCACCUGCAUUCGUCUCAGUAGUUAAACUAGUCACCGCAGAGGCAGGGCACUUCAGGCACAGCUGCUUCUGUCCAGGGAACUGAAAUUCAAACCCUCGUCUGUCUUUGUGGAGAGUGCGUCGUCACCCCUGUAUGUAGCACCACGUGUGUGUCUGUAAAUAUGCAGGAGAACCUUCUCGUUUUUUUUAGGGAAGCAGUUUAUUUUGCAUGACAUACUAAUAAUGGAGCAGGUACACUCCUUUAGAGCCUCAUCUCAUGGUUAGGAUGCUUCCCUGGGAGGGGGAAAAUGCAGGUUCAGAUUCCCUAAAACAUGGGAAGUACUUCGGAACAGACCUCCUGCGCUCCACUGUGUUCUGAGCAGUGGAUAUAAAGACUUACCACUGAUUAUCACUCUUGUGUUCUUAAAGUUCUCAUGAAAUUUUAAAGUUCUCGUGAAAUUAAAAAUGAGCAUUUUGUGCUGGAACAGUUUUGUUCUUUAGCAGUAAUGGAGAAAAUAGAAUCUGGUCCUUGCAAGUAGCAUUCCCAUGUGGGCUCCAGAAAUAUACUUUAUUGUCUUCAGGGCCAGAACUAAUUCAGAGGCUCUUUUAUUUGCCACCUAUGAAUCUUGACCUUGACCUAGAAAGUCUAUUCUCACUAUUGCAGGAGGGGCAAUUAAACUUCUGUGAAGCAAAGCCUCCCUAUCCUAGCAAAAUAUGUCAAGUGUAUCAGAGCACAACCUUCCAACUUUAUUUUAUUCCCUUGCAAUGUGCCAAGCUGCCUCACGUUAAUUUAAAUAAACUGAGAACAACGGCACUUGAGAAGAUUGAAAGUUUCUUUAAUCAGUUUUGGGUUGUUAGAGGUUUUUGUUGAGGGCAGAGCAAGUUUCCAAAUUAAGUAAGACAUAGAUUUCCAAAACAAGACAUGGGGCUCAGACAUUUACCUUGAACUCCACUGGUGUAGGAAGUUAACAGAACUGAAUCCCGUAGCUGUUAGUAACGGCUCCUGUGCUCACCGUGGCCUUCCCUGCGUGGGAGCCAGUACGACUCGCGGAAGAGCUCCGAGUAACACCUGGUUGUGUUUUACUAGGGGAGGUGGGCUGGCUGGAGUACAUAGGUGAACUGUUCUGUUUUGGCAGCUCAGCUGAGGGUAAGUAAUUAACCAAGCUUCUCUUCCCGAGUGGUUAAUACAGUGACCACUGCUGCCCUUUCACAGCCCCCAGGGAGGCGGCUGGGCCGUGCACCCCCGAGCACACAGUGUUCAACAAGCACAUGAUGGGCAGGCAGCUCACUGACUGUCCGCAUGCAGCAAAGAUGCUUUUAACAUUCAAAUGGCUCCAGGGAUUGACUCUGCGUGAGGGAGCACAACAGAAAAUCUCUGAUGUUCCGGUUUUUGUCAGUAGCGUCUGACCACAACAAAGGUUUGCUUGUCUCCAAGAAAUGCAGGUAACCAUUGUUUUGCUGAGAUCUAGACUUAAAUGUGCCUUGUUUUGUUACACUGGCAAAUGAAAUGUGUCCCUAAGCUCUUUUUAUCUUAUAUCCUUGAAAAUUAGGAAGUUUACAGUAGUGAAGAGGAUCGUUGAUGCUGAAAAUGACAUGUAACUCAGCUUACAGUUUUCUUAGUAAGAUCAAUGCUUCUAGAAUGCUGGAUCCCAGGGUUUUGCAGUUUUGCAUUGAUCUCAUUCACCCCGCUUCCCAUGAGAGCCUUUCUGAAAUACUGCUAUUGAGUAACAUGCUCACUAGUAUGAAGGGAAUAGGGAACGAGUAACCUUUGCUGCUUGAGUAAAAUGCAGAAUGACAUAAAGCAUCCAAUUCAGCCUCCUUUAGGGUGUUGAAGACGCAGCACUCAUUUUUCUGGCUGAAAAGCAGACGGUGACACCGCCAGCAGCCACUGUGUCAGCCCAGGUUCUCCCAGCAGGAGGGACAUGCAGGGCGGCUGGACAGGGAAACAGCAGAUGCCACAACUGGAAGUGCUCGUUUGGAGCCCACGUGUAAGUAGAUACAAUGGGACACGGGGCAUGUAAAAGUUAACAGCGACUCUUCAAAACAUAACAAAUGCAACUGAUCAAUAAUGAAAAAUACAGAACAAUUAUGAUCUGUUUAAACUGGGGGUCCCCGCUUGCAUCUUGAACACCCAUAUCUGCACGUGGAUGAAUAUGAACGGCUUGGUUUGGUAUCUACCAACCACAAAAACAUGCAAGAGAAAAAUUAAAAGGGAAGUAUGAAGGGAAGAACCUUCCCCCUCCUCCCAGAAUAUCUUAACAAAUUACAUCAUAAUUACAUUAUAUGUCGUAUUGUUCAAUCAAAAUGUUUUAUGUCUUAUUUUAUAUUUAUCCCCAUUAAAAGUUGUUCUGUGUAUUUUAAAGGAAAAAUAUGCUUAGCAGUUUUUAGGAAUCUGAAUCUCAGAAGGAGCUAGAUAUAUUUGUAAAGGAGAAAAAAAAAGGCAUUUUGAAGAAACAUGCACACUACAAAAUAGAUGAUUUCUGAGUAGACCAUGUUAACAUUUAUAAUGCUUAGCACUAAGAUGAUCAUUACAGGAUAGGGCUUAAGUCAUAUUGUAUACAUUGAUAAAUUAGAAAUUAAUUUUAAUGAAAGACAAAGUAUUUAAAAAGCAGAGUUAGUAAAUAUGUAGAACAAAGCUGGCAGAUAGCUCAUAGUUUUGUUACAGUCCGUCAUUACAUAUUAUUCUAUGACGUGUUCUAUCAUAAUAGCUUGAAGUCUGGUGUAAUCUCUGGGUUUGACUCGGUUGGAAACGUGGCAUGUCUGCUCACCUGCACUAGAGAAGCACACAAAUCUAUAUGCAGCAGCAAGGCAAAAAGCCGGGGAAAGGUCCAUGGCCCCGCACCAUUGAUGGGACACUCUGCAACACUGGGCUGCCACCAGCUAAUGAAACCCAGAACAGGGAACACGCAGUUCAGUUCACUGGCAGAUGAAGAGCUGCAGUUAAGCUCAUGUUUUCUCAGGACUGCUAUUCGUGCCGCCUCUUUUACUUGGAGCUCUUACAUUAAAUCAAUCUCUUAAGUCCCUCAGACGGUUUUCCCAUACAGCAGUUACCUGAUGGCACUCCUAUCAUCUUAAUAUGAGCCUUAGAUGUGCCUUGAAUAGUACACAGCUCCACAUAGGGUGAGUUUCACUCGGUUGAGUGCCAGAAGAGAGAUGCAAAUAGCUUGAGAUGGCCCACGAUGAAGAUUACAAGUAGCACUUAAAUGUCAUUGUUUCCAUGACCUGUUUCAUUUCAUGAGUGCACUGGGGUUAAAAAUACUGUUCUGUCUGCUGCACAGUGUGUUUGUGAUCGGGGCAGCCUACAUCUGUCAGCGAGAGCUACAGACAAGCAGAGCUACAUGAGCUGUGCCAGGCGCUGUACGGCGGCUGCCGCGCUGAGCUCACCUGGUAACGCGCUGGUUCUCGAGCACCGCUCCCGGGGCGAGCCUCAGCUGCGCUAACGUCUGGGAUGCGUGCACAGCUAUUCCGGGUCCUGCAUGGGAGAUUCUGCUAAUUGGGUAAAGCCGCUCUAGUGUACAGGCACCAACUGGCAGCCACAACUUCCACAAUGAGAGAGAUCCAUAAUUUUCAAAUGUAACUAACAAUUUGUGACAAUAAAGCAGCAACGGGAGCCAAGAUGCUGGCACUUCUUGUCACCUUGUGCAAGCGCAGUGAGUAGAAUUUGCAUUUUUUUUUUUUUUUUCCAAAGGCAGUUACUUAUUUCAUAAAACACACAUUUAAUCCAUGCAGUUUCUUCGGCACAAUUUGAUUUUCAAGCCAAAAAUCUCUAAAUAGAGUUUAGUGUCUCUCUUAAGAAAAGAACCCAAGUACUAUUGAAUUAAGCCGUUAGCUGUUUUGAUGCAGUAUUAUCAGCAUACAGUGUAACUGUCCAUUGUCGUUCGCGAUCCAGUGUCUUGGUGUCUGCCCGGUCGGUGAGUGCACUCUCCUGCCGCUUCGGGCUCCUUCGAGGGGAACUGACCAUUUUUUCCUUUUUAGAGCAGGCCCUGGGCUACAAUACACGGGAUAUCAAUCAUUCUUACCCUGGAGGUUCCACUCCAGAAGUACAUCCAUGGAGGAGGGUCAGUGCCAGAAAAAGAGGUUUUUAAAAGAAGUAUUCUUUAUUUGGCUGUGGGCAUAAAUCUUUAAAGACACACAAGAAAAAAGGACAGAAAAUUGGAGGGGAGAUUUUUAAACACUGGCUUAAGCAUUGGUAGGGAGCAGGUAGACUAAGCAGAUGCAGCUUUUCCAGAUACCUUAAGUUCAUUACCCUGGUUCCCCAUGACAGACUCCACAAGGCGACCCAACAGGCAGCUGAAGAAACAUGAACCUGCGCUGGUACUUUGAUAGUGGUUCAAACUGCAAAUGGUUUAUUGCGGUGGUAGCACAGGGCUGGUGCUGAGCCUGGACCAUCUGCCUCUCAGCAGCACACGCUAGGCAGUCCAGCACCGCACUCAUGUAAACGUACCGCGUUACGGUCUGGAAGCAGCUCCUGCUGAUACUCCAGAACAAACCCAAGAGCCACAAAAUAUCUCAGAAUCCUGCAGUGAGCUAGUAGCAAUAAAUGACUGCAUGGCACUGCAGAGCUUUUGAAGUCAUCUGCAAUACGCCGGCCCCACACAGGAGUUGCAAAGGAUUAGACAUUGUAAGGAUGAUAUGCACACCUGCGGUUUUGUCAGAUGGGAGAGAACAGGAGAACCUGAAACCGAGAGAGACUGUGAGGGGUUAGAAUGACAGUUCCCCUCUCGGUGGGUUACUGGGGCAGGGUGAUGAACUGGGUGGCCUCUUAAAGGGCCUUGCAGGUUGAGGGUUCUGCCCGUGCCCUCCAUGUCCCAUCCUGUCUGUCAUCCCCACCCGGUUUUUAGAACAAACAGGUUUUUGAAAUGUCAGUGAGGAGUCUGCUGGUGUCCAUUGCCAAAGGCAGUGUCAGGCAGAAGCUGAACUACUGGUCUGCUCAGCUAAGACCAUUUCUGUGCUCUUGUGGGUCACUUUGGUAAAACAAAGAAAUGCAGAACUCAUUUGGAAAUUUCCUCUACACCAAGAAAACACUUAAUUUUAAAAAUACCACUUGAAUUUUACAAGGAUAAUUCAUAUCAAAUAUUAUAUAGGCAGAAGCUGCUCUAUUUCAUUCAGCGUCUGGAGAAAAAUAAUUAUGCCCUUUACAAUUUGAAGUGCAUUUGUAUUCCUUCCAAAUAGUCCUAUUACAACAAAUGAAGUACUUACUAUACAUCUUUUUCCUGCUGCUUUUCAACUUAAAUUUAAUUUUCGCAUAGAUUUAUUUAAAACAAUUCUCAAUGUGACUCAGCCAAAUGAUGAAUUUAUGGAAGCUUUAGUAAAUGUGUAAUCUAGUUGAAGUUAAAAAUGGCUACUUUGUGAUUCUGUGCCUAAAUGAAAUUACCCAUUGUAGCCAGCUACUGUGCGUCCAUUUGAAGCCUAUUUCUUGGGGCACAUAUUCAGUCUUCAACUGAAAGUGUAGUGCAAAUAUGUUGCUAACAGAAAAAUGUAUAUAUACUUACAUAGCAUUAGUACUAAGCAAAUGUUUUAAUUCUUCUAUUCUCUGAGACUGCUUGAGCAGUUAAUAUAUAGUGUGUAUACAUUUUGGAUCUGCAGAGAAUACACUGCACAUGUUGAUGUCUUAUUUUGUAUUGGUCUUAAUACAUAACUGUCUCUACCCAAAUGUAAAUAAUCUGAAUUUAAGAAGUUAAAUGAAUGUUGCAGAGCAUAAAAAUAUUUGUAAUGAGAUCUCAAUGCAGAAAAGGUUUGUGACUCUCAGUGAUAACAGAACUCUGCCUUGGGCAGAGCGUGAAUCUGUUUUCUGUUGUUGGCACGAAAUCAGCAGUUACAAGAGCUAAGUCUCAAAUCAGGCUAUCUCUGAUAAGGAGUGUGCAUCAUCAGCCUGCUUGAGCUUGAGUUCAGCAUGAGAUCUUUAGGAAUUCACCAUUUUUAAAGAGCACGCCUCAAACUUUUCUGAACCUGUGUCCCUGAGGUUUCAGAUACCAGCACGGGGUGCAUUCAGCUGACUGAUUGUUCUGGAGUUUUGCCUAAGCUAUCCACACUAAGUUUAGUCAGGAUAAAGUUCAUUUCUCCCACCCAAAUAUAUAAGAAUUGAGCUACUAAGUUCUCUCCAUAUCAGCACAACUAUGAACCACCUGCAGACUCGGUGUUUACUCCAAAACCCACUGCAUACAAUUUGUGGGAAAAACUUGUGUCUUCCUGCCAGUUCUGGAUGAGGCUGCAUUUCCUACUGCAGUAAUAUUUUAUGCUGUUUAUUUGGUAACGAUGUCCUGAUUCAUAUAGAGGGAUUUCUGUUACUGUCUUUGCAAGAGCUAGUAUAUACACAGAAAGACGUGAUGCCACAUCCUCGGAGAUACCUGUGCGUCCAAAGUCCGACUGUAUUCCAUAGUUGGCAUUGUAGCCCAUCCAGCAUGAAUAUUAAGACUUCAGCUGUAUAAAUUACUGAGAGUGAGGCUACUUUAUUCUGUCUUUAACCGAGGAAAACCAUCACAACCUGUUUCAUCGUCUUUUCCCACGAUUUUAAUUUUUGCAGCUGCAGGGCAAGGAGAUGGGGGCGUGCGGGGGAACCAGGAGCUGAGCGCCGGUGCGGCUCUCCCGAGCCCCGUGUCUCGCAGCACCCGCAGCUCCCGGGGAGGCAGCACUGCUGCUCCCACUGCCCUGUGCUGCGGGGAAGAUGCUGAACCCUCUCUGCUAUCACAGGCUGAUCAUACCCUACUUUACCCUAUAAUAACAUCUUCAGGACUGUGAUGUUACUUUUUGAUACAGGAUUAAUGGAGUGCAGCAAAUACUCAGAUAUUGAUUACAAGGACUCAUUUUUCAUUGUUAGUAUCUCCUGCCCACUAUUAAGCUCUACAGCACAGUAAAGUCUGGAAUUUAAAACAGUACCAUGAUAAAAAAAAAAAAUCAGAACUCUCUUACCUCUUGUUUCUUUGCUUACUUUAAACCACAGAGAAUGUACUGACAAAAAGCUGAAAGGUCUGAUUUGUAGUUAAGCCAUGGGUUUUAACCAGAUCCUGGUUCAUAAUCCUGUGUAUCAGAAGUUUCCAAUGAGCAUCUUUUACUGCAACAACAGCCCAUCAAAAGAAUGGAAGAAUGGUUUUAUGUCACACACCCAGCAUUUCCUGAACAGUGGUAUGAAGGUAUAUGGAGCUCUUAAUAGUUUAACUAGUGACUUUCUCCAGUUCGGUUAGGUUUCCCCCAUGGCAGCACAAGGGCUUGGAGAAUUCUGCACUCAUGAUGUGCAGUUCCGAAAUGAUACUGAAGCCUGGACUCACAUGAAAUCCUCCAGAGGUUCUGCAUUCUUCAAAAGGUUCCUAAAAUCUUUGAAGUUGAUCGCACCUCCUGGUUUGUCUUCUGGUGAGAUGGAAGGUAGAGCAGGCAUUUGGGUUCUGUUAUGUUGAAACAAGACAGCGAAAGGGGCCUGCCAUAAAUAAAGCUUACGAAUAAAUGAAUGCAUCUGACAAAGAGCUUAAUGAUCACAUGGACUGAGCCCAAAUUCUUGAUCAAUGAAUCAUGUAAGCUGCUUUGUUUAGGCUUGGCAAAUCAAUAAUCCAUUUUGUUAAACAAGUAAAAUAGAUUUUUUUUUGGGGGGUUGCUCUGGAUAAAUUUUAAAAUACAAAGUGUCAGCCAAUCUGCAGGGGUGCCUGAGAGUCCUGCUUGGAGCCUUCCAGGUGACAACACACAGCAGAUGACCAGGUAUGGGAGAGAAAUACUAAUAUUCAGAAGACUAUAUUGUAGCUACAGAGCUGUGAAAGAGCUCAUGACUUUGCAGACUUAUUAGUAUGAUAUAAUUAUUGCUAUGAAAUGAAGCAGAAUUGGUAAACAGUAGUCUGUUGGAUUUUUCACGACAGAAGGGACAAAAGUCAAGAUUCUUAAAGGGAUUUAGGUACAUAACAAUGCAGAUAGACCCUGCUCAAGUGCUAAGAAAUACAUAUAGGUUGGAUGGUAGACAGCUUCUCCCCGGCAGCAAAGUUACGCCAAAGCCACUGGAAGAAAUUUAUUUAAGUAACUAAUGUUGGUUAAAGUGGGUAAAACUGGGACCUGGUUUUCAAGAGAACUUGGGUUUUGAAAAUUUAUCCUAAAAUAUCAGAGGUACCAAUGGUAUGAGUAUCAGUUUCUCUUCUGUGAAUACCAACACAGUUCCCUAAUUCUGGCCCCAAAACGUUGGAUCAGAUCUGGUACCACGAAGCCUGUGAGUAUUGCUGAGUUUGCACCUGUCCUCGUGCUAGAGCAAACUGCUGCAAUUCCUGCCUCUGGGGAUCAGUAGGGGAGAAAAAAAUGUCUUGCAAAAAGAACAGAAAGUUUCUAAGCUCGUCAAGAAAAUGACAUUGUCCUGCAUUUGGUAUUGCCUGAGCAAUAUUUCUGAAACAUCGCUCCCAGAUAGAUGUAAGCAGAGACAAAAUGCCAGAUCUGAUUACAUAGAUCAAAGUGGUCUGCUCCUAUAAAGCUCUGAGUGCUCACAGCUCACGUUGUCAAAAUUAGAUUUGUGGCUAAGUGGAAUUUUUCAUCAUCAUAGCAAUUUGUUUUGGGUACUUAACAAUGAGUUUAGGGGCCUAACUUUAAGUGGCCAAUGCUGAAAGCUUUGGUUUUCUAAGGAAAACUGCUGCCCAGAUUCUCAGAGUUAUUUAUUACCUUCAGCAGCACGUCUUGUUAAAGAGACCGUUCAGAACCAACUUCCAGCAGGAAAAAAAACACCACUAUUGAGACACAGAUAGGAAGCGACCCCUUCCCCUCUCAGUUACUGGCCUUCCAUCAAGUUCAUAUAUGCAAAUACUGCCCCGUCAGAAAAUUACACUAUGACUUUAAUAAGAAAGCUGAAAAAGAAACUGCUCUCUGAACUAUGAAUUAAACAUUCUUUAUGGUCACUGCAUUGAGUCAGUGGAAGAAGAGAAACCAACUGUUCUGAAAAUAAGUUAUUAUCCCCUAAAAUGGUUUAUGUUCCCUUGGUUAUUUGUAGCGUGAUUGAAAGUCAGGUAGAGGACACAAGCUAUUGAACAGAUCACUGGGGACUGUUCCAGGCUUGGUCUGUUAAAAAUCCUUACAACUAUAUCAGAAAAUUCUGUACCGAAUAGGACAAAAUGGAGUAAAAGAGAACAAAUCCAAAUCAAGGAUGAUACAAGAAUAUACAAGCUUGAAGAUUGUUAAAGGAGCUAAAAUCUGUGUGUUAUUUUAAAGCCUGAGCUGGGUUAUUGGAUUGCUAACAUGUACUCACCAAAGAGAAAACGAAACAAUAAAGUGCCAGCAAGGAAAAAACAAGCUUAUUCACAACAGUACAGUGUGUAUUCUGCAAAGCUGUUGGCUUGAUAUGCUCAGAAUGAGGCCACCCAGAGGCAAACACUCUUUCCAUUUAAACAGAAACUAAGGCCUCAUACCACUUCUUAAAAUCAGGCAUUUUUUUCCUUUUAGAACGUUCUCCCCGACUGCAGAUUCACACAUUGCUGAAGGUCUUUUCAAAAGCCAAAUAGAGCUCAAUAUUUAUAGUGGCAAAGGUAGUUACCGUCCUUUAUCAACUUGGGAUCAGAUGUUCUCCUCGAAAUCAAGAGAGUAUUUCCCCACUGUGUCUCUGAAAGCAAGAACAAAUACAACCGAUAAAAUGAUUAUGUUUUCACAAGCAACUAGCAUGAUUCAAGUGAUACACUACUAAACGAACUUUAUGCAGAAUCAGCAUUCUUUAAAACAGCAUUUUGCUUUCUCUUUCAUUUGUCUGCAAAUAUUUCCAUUUUGGCAUAUCUUUUACGCAGCAUUAUCGAAUCACAACUGCUGCAGGCCAUGAGCAGCACCUCUGCAGUCACGAGAUGCAAUCUUACUCCUUCACUACAGCAUUGCUUACCAGGCUCAAGCACAAUGUGUUGCGGUAGGGAGUCGGGAACACGAAUUUCCCCGUGCCUACUUCAGUGAUUAACCUGUAGAAAAAUGGUUUGUAUUUAAGAAAAAACAUGACAGGGAUUUACAUAAAUAAAACACUAAUUCAUACAGAAAACACAACAGAGUGGAAGUUAAAUCUAUAGAAAAAUUAUGGAUCUUAAGCCAUAAAAAGCUUGAAUAUGUUAACAGUUUGUAUGGCAGAAUUGGAAUGUCGCAUAUUUUAUUAUAGUUGAUGUAAGCCUAAUGUAUUAGUGUGACUUGUUUUACUUAUAUAUGCUUGCAAAAAAAUACUAUCAACCCUAUUUUUACCUGAUUUUAAAGUCAGUAAAAAUACUCUCUGUUGCACGGCUCUUAACACAAGGUUGUAAGUAUCCGUGACCAGGACGUCUAUAGUCUAUCACAGUGUAAAUAAUUAUUUGUGAUUAUAACUUUUCUAUCAUGAUGUUAGAGGAGGUUAAAGAGGCACUAGACUUCAUUGCUGAAAGGUGACGUGGAACCAAGUGCAGUGUACAUUUACACUGCAUUUAUAAAACUAGGUAGCAGCCAUUCCUUCGGGUGCUAUCACUGCCAGUGCUUACAAUGCCAAGACCUGGAGACCUUCAUUAUACAUUUAUGCAUUUAAUGUACUUGUUCUCAGAUACAUAGACAGACAUGCAUCAUAGGAUGCUCAGUAAUCUGCUAUAUAAAGCAUUCUGCUGGGAACUGUGGCUUCAGAUCAUUGCAUGCAAAGAAAUAAAUUGCGAUUAGUCUCUUCUUAGGUGAUUAUAUAAAAAGUGUCGCUGUGUGGACUGAGCCUUGAAGGCAAUAAAAGGCCAUAGCAUGCUGUGGGGCAGGUCUACAGAAAGAUGACAAAGAACUGUAAGAGAUACAAUGGUAUACAUAUGAUUUUUUAAGGCUCUGCAGAGGGAUCUGAGCCAGCUGGAUCAAUGGGACGAGGCCAAUUGUCUGAGGUUUGACAAGGCCAAGGGCCGGGUCCUGAACUUGGGUCACAACAACCCCAUGCAAUGCUACAGGCUUGGGGAAGAGUGGCUGGAAAUUCUGUGGAACAAGAAUGGCUUUCAGAUCAAUUGUGAUGAUGCUUUGACUCAUUCAAGUCGUCUUUGUGACGACGUGGAGUAAGAGCUGCGGAUGGCCAUAGCAAGAGAGCGACGUGCAAAUCUCCAGAGAAAGCUCCAAGUGUAAUAGAAAGCAAGUUGGCUGCAUCUAUCCCCAAGACAGAGAUUUCACUCAUCAUUGUUACAGAAUGAAAAAUUUAAGAAAGCCCCAAGAGAAGAAUUUUCUUAUUUUAUUCGAAUGAAGCUUCCAUCUGAAGGCACAUAUGCCACCAUAUGGGAUCCAUUUCAGGCAUUCAUUAGAAGAAGAAUAAUUAGUCUAGCAUCAUACAAGGAAGAAAGGAAGAGGCCCAGAGGAUAAUUACUUUAGAAACAGAAAUAAAAGACCUUGAAACUAAAUUUGCUAGAGACAAGUCUAUGAAAAACAAUAAUAAUGAUUUUAAAAAGCCCUUAUUUAUGGGGAAUUUUGAAUUCAGUUAUCAAAGAGAAGAGGAAAAGGGGCAUGCCCAAGACAGGACUAUUUUUAGCUUGGGGAGAAGCUGGUACACUAUUGUUUUAAUGACUAUGGAAAAACACGUAGUCUCAUAUUUCAUCCAUUCACCUCAAGCAAGAAGCCUCUUCUCUAGUACAAGAGAAAUGAAACACUUCCACAUUAAACUAGGAAGAACUGCACUGUAUGUAUGUCCUCUCUUUGCAAAUACACCAUUACCAGUGCUACUGGUCACAGGCAUCACAUACAGCUGUGACCAUUUAAAGACUGUCAAAAGGGAUUAUUCCUUUGUAGCGCUUACUAUGAGACAACCUGCAAGGAAGAGAAAUACCUGUAUUAUGUAAAUAAAGCACAGAUUGAAUUACAUGAGAAUAGAGAAGACUCAAGAAUAUGUCAGAUUUAGGGAUUUUUCUAUGAGCAAUUAAACACACCGAGAUAGUGCUCUGUAUACGUCAGCUUAAUCCUAACCAUGCAUUUAGCCAACGUAUCUCCCCUUCUGGAAGGUGACAGAUAGACACAUCAGACUGAAUAAAAGACAUUCGCUGUGUAGUGCACCACAGUCUGCCCGCAAAGCCUCAGGCCCUAAGUAACUAACCCCUAAUUAACUGCUGAGUUUGGAGUUUCUGUGCUACUCAACAGGCCCAUGGGAAGGCAACAGUGACAAGAUUUGGCCCUUAAAAAGCACUAGUGACUGGUUCCUCCUCUUCAUACCAGGGAACAUCUGAUAUUCUGCAGCACUGAAAUGCUAAUGGGAACCAAGGAUUUCUCUAGGUAAAAUGCUUUGAUUGAGACAGUGGUCAAAGGGACAGUUCUUUGAUGUCUGGAGCUCUUUGUAACAAAGAAUAAAAUGAGAUCUCGCAUCGCUGCAUGUGAAACAGAUGGUAUGGGUUAUGACAGUGGUUCAUUCAUAUUGGGGAUGCUUGUUACAAUGCAUUAUCUUGUAAAGAUACAGAGAAAGCUACCUAGCAUUUUGUGACUCACUUACAGUAUAAACAAGAUAAUUACCUGGUUCACCUGCUAGAGCAGGGAGAUCGAUUAUAGAAGCUAAUUAGAGACCUGUUUUAAGCAGAUAUGAACUCAUGGGUUUUCGUUAUGGGUUCUUCUCCUCUUAACAUACCGCAGAGAAAACCAUAGAACAACAGUGAUUAGCCUUAUUUCAUUUUUAUGGCUUUUCCCAUUCAGAACAAAACCACAGAAAGUCAAAAGUGUAGCUAAUUUAUGUGAGCAAGCCAGCAAAUGUAAGUUAAUUUUCUUGCUUUACUACUUAGAAAGCUCAGCCAGAGCAUUAAUGUCAAAGGAAAAUGAAGAAAAAAAUAGCUAUCUAUACGGAAUUUGAAUGCAACUCAUGGUAGAUUGACAAACAUUGGCAGAGAAAACUGUUGUACUUGCAAAGAAGUAACAGGUAUUAAUAGUGAGCAUUUCAGCUCUUCGUUACUUGUAAUGUAUAACUACAUUAAUUAAUUAAAUUACUAACAUGUCAGUAAUGCAGUAGACAAGAUAUACCUGUUUGCGAUGUUUGUUGAUUGUUACUCUUCUGGCACUGGAGAAUGCUUGCAUUUCCUUUAGGUAGCAUUCUUCCUUACUGCUGCUGUCCCCAAAAGCAGAACAUCCAUAGCGGUGUCCAUGAAUUUCUGAUCACUCAUAUUUAAAUAUGUUGUGUGUCUAUGGUCUGCAGGCAUUUCCCAGCUCCAUGGGAUCUGUCACAGUCCAGGAGGGAUUACUUUAGAAUCUGUUCAGUCUAAAAAAUUUCACACUGCAUCUCCACCCACAUGUGGGAUAAAAAACAAAUUACUUUCGGAAGGCAGAAAGACGUUAAUCAUUAGUACUCGGUUCCCAGGUGACCUGCUGUCUAGUGCAAAGCACAGUUCUGAGCAGGGCACUCAGGCUUCCAGCCCACUGCAGUGAACAAGGUCUGACGGCUCUAAGCCACCAGACUUGGGGGUGAACUGGCACUGUCACUUGGAAUUCCCCAGGAGUGGGAGAUGUGGCCUGAACUGUACCCUUGUUAAACACCUGCGGCAGGGCUAUAAAAAGACUGUGGCAUCUUAGCCACAAAACUGUAAACUAAACCCAUAUUCACCGGGAAGAAUCUACAUCCUUUAGAUUUUCACCAACUCCUUAACAAACCAACUGUUUUUUUUUUUUUGAACUAUAUAUUUGAAAUAAUUAACAUAUCAAUAAUAAGGCACAUAGCUCACAUCUCCGCAUGCUGGGAUGUACAAGUUGGGUAUUACAUCUCUCAGACGCAGGACCAGGGAAGGCAUCAUUCUAAGAGCAUGUCUGCUGUAUCGGGUUGUACAUAAAACAUGAAGUUCCCCUGCUUCCCUGCCUCUCCCCCUGCACUGACCAGAGCACCAGACGGCAUCUCCCUGGCUCGGGCUGAAGCUGUUUCAUUUUGUAGGAAGUUCUCACAAUUGCUAAACCACUGGAAAGACUCAGGCGAGUGACUGACAUAAGCAGAGCACUGACAUGAGUAAGGGAAAUGUUAACUCAUAUUUGCUGCCCCAGUUUUUAAAUGCUUUAUCGCUUAUUCAAUAGCUGCCAAUAGUGAUAUUAGUACCUCUGCAAAAGCUGGACAGUAGCAGAUAUUACAUGCAUGUAGCUGCUUAAGUGUUUCGGUGAUAUAGAGUCAUAUUUAUACCAUUUGCUUUCUAACCACAUUAAUUGCAUGGAAGCCAACACGACGUGGGUUACAAGAGCAGCUAAUCCUGACUGAGUGCCCAGCUCCACAGCAGGGUUUAGCACGGAUAAGCCUAGGGCACAAGAUGACAUGCCUCUCUGACCACAGAGCUGCGGCUCUGCUGCCUGGCCCAUGGCACGCUCGGCUAGCGUAGAAACUGCAAAGUCUGCUGGUGGGGCCUUCCCUGUGCAUUAUGAGUCCAUACUUUUUUUUUGGGAACAUAGAUACCUAUCUUGGGAGGUGAAAAUUGUGCUCUUAGGCACAGAACCAGAUUUAAGGAUGGGUAAUGCUUAGAAGAUGAUUGCAUGGCUCUGCAUUCGUUAUUCAAAAUGACAUUAAAUAUUUGACUAAAUGUUUGUAUUUAUGCUACCAGAUUGGUGCAGUAUGAGAAACUACCCUGCAGUUAUAGAAGGAUACACAAGAUACCUGAUGUAAAAAUAAGAGUGCAUCAUCUCCCACAUACCUCUUGAUCUCCUACGGCAAAGUUAGCACUUCUGAUAAAAAGACUAAAGUCACAGGAAACAUGCCAAAAAAUGAGAAGGGCGAUGUCUUAGGCUCUGUGAGGACAGAACAGUUGUUAAAUUGGGGAGUAACGAUUCUUUUACCAUUGAACACAGCAAUAGUAAAAAAUGAGUAAAAAUAAUACUAUACUUUGAAGGAGGCCUGGCACCCAGACUGAACUGUGCUUGUAUUUUAUGGUCAUUCUUCCCUGCUCAAAAAGAACGGAGAGUUUUUGCUUUCCUUUUGACUUCUUAGAGACUGAGUGAAAGCGUUCACAAGAGCCAGAAAAGGCUUUCAUCAGCUUACCAAGCAACAGGCCCAAACUCUUAGUAAAACCAAAGUGACAGGGGGAACUUGCCCCAAACCAGCAACAAUACAGAUUGAAGGCAGGGGGAGGAAGGCAAUCUUAUUUCUAAGAGACUACAGUUAUAGUAAUACAAAGGUUUUGUGUAGUGGUUCCUUCUCAAUCAGACCAAGGCUGGCUUUUCACCUUACCUACUUAAAUACCCUAUCCAAUAAUUAAUUUAACUGAUAUGGGACAGCUAUAUCAUCCCUGAAUAAAGUGAUUUGUAUAGCUCUAAAAGCAAAUGCCUCAGCGGAAAGACGGGUGAUCAUUAUUUCAGAGCUCUUUUUUAUUUUUCCCCUGCUCUUAAGACUUGUGAAAUUAUUUAUUUGACAAUCUGAAAAUAAAACUUGAGCUGUAUUAGCAUGUAGGCUGCUCAAUAAAAAGGAAAAAAGGGAGAGGAUUAAUAAAUUACAUGCUAGAAAUGGGAAACAAGAUUAGAGGUGACAUUUUGGCAAUGGAAGGGAAAAAAUGAAACAAGAUUAGUUGGAGGGGAAAGAGGGAGUCAAUCAGUAGGAAAAAUGAAGUUUAGAAAAUGUGAGAAAGCCUGUGAAAAAUGGAGGAGCUGAUGAGGAGAAAGGGUGCCAUACAAGUGACUCCACCGCAAAGAGGGACAUCGCUGCUAUCAACAGCGAAAAACCAGUCAGUGAAUCGGAGGGUUAGAAGGGCGGCUGGAGCGUAACGGGCCGAUGGCAGCGAGAACGCACCACGGAGAGGACAAGAGAGGGACGGGGUGGAAGCAGGGCACGGCGCUGCUGCUGCAAAUGCCAGAGGAGCUUCCCCAAGGCCCACGUCUGUGUCCCUCCUACUUUCCUACCUACUUUCUAUCCUUUGAUAACACGGAUACAAGGUGAGCUAUACACAAUCAUACAAAAAACCAACAGUUCCAUGUGGAUUCAUGGCUUUAGGCAAGACUGGAUUUUCAGUUUGUUUGUUUCCAUGGGUCAACACUGAUAGAUUGUAACCUACGGCAAAUCUCGAAUACGCAGAUCAGGUUACUUCCUCCAGCACAUUACUAUAGCAACAACAUUUGAAUUACUGAUAUUUGACAUCACUGGGGCUGCUGUUUCUUUCUGUUUUCAAUGGCAAGGCAAAAGAAUGCUCCAGCAUUGUGCUACCUUCUCUGCAAGGCCAAUGGACCUCUUCUCCUUCAACCUACCCUGCCUCCGUCAUGAACGUUUGGCUUCCUAGAACCUAUUGUCUUUCUGUUCCUCAGCCUCCUCUGCCAUUGCUAAGAUCUCCAUUCUUUUUUUCCCCUCUUUUUAUACCCCAAUACUUGCAGUGGUUGUUUGAAACUCCUUUCAAAUGAAAUGAGAAUGUGGGCAGGACAAGCAGGGACUCCCCAUGCUGUAAAUAACAAAGAGAAGCGAUCAGUCUGGAUUGGCUGUAGCCUGAACAGCUAUUUCUCCUUUGAUUAACCAGAUUCCUUGGUAUACUUGAUAAUGAGCAAAAGGGACAGGGAGGGGGUAGAGUCCACUGCCACGAGCUAACGAAGUGGAUCGCUGUUUGCCUCUUCUCUGUUUGCGGGCACUCUGCCACCAGCACUCAGUCUCAUAAAGACGCCAGAGCACCUGUUGCUCCCGAGUACAAUGAGAGUGAGGACAGCGCGCACAGACGGUCUCCUCAUAAACCCUGACAUCUGCAUGGAAACCACUUCAAUGCACAUCUUGUUUGAAACACGCCUCGCAUGAACCAGCAAACUGGAGGGAGCAGAAGAAGACCGCGGCUUUGCCCGUGCAUGAGCCUCACGAGGCUCUGAGGAUUUGUGCAAACAAUGCCUGUCCUGUGCAGGAACACACUGGCAGUUUGGAAGCUGCCUCUCAACUGCUAGACCCAGGUUAUCUGAAACUGAUACCUGUUGGUAACGGUGCACGCGUAUGACAGCAUAAAAUUCUCACACACUACUACGAAAGUAAAGUUUGCAUGCCAGGAAUGCUGUGAACAAGCUUGGAAUUAGAGCAAAAAAAAGCAUAGGUAUAAAACAUCAAGCCUUUUGGGGACAAGCGUCACAAGAGUGACUGUUUGGUCACCCUUCAGUGGCAGUUUUAGUCCCUGACUGUCUCGGGCCUCCAUCCUCCCAUCCAAGGGAUCCUAAGCAAAAAAACCAACAGCAAACAAACCACAACCAACAACAAAGCAGCAAAACCCAAAAAGCCCUUUGGGUUGACCCUAUUAUGAUUUACCAUAAUCAUUCCAUUGCUACCUUAGUAAGACCGUUCACAAAGAUACAAACACGGGCUCAGUCCAGGACACAGAAUGUGGAUCCUGCUGUAAAUAAUCUUCACGUGAGUGAUCGUCUGAAAAAGUUGAGUCAUCUUACUUCCUUUACGAGUAUCAGUAAAAUGCUGAGUAUGCUUUCUUGCAGUUUUCUACAAGAUGCACGGGAUACAGGAAGAUGUCUGUAUGCCAUAAUAAUUGUCAUCCCCUAAAAUGUUCAUGUGCCAACAGGAAUUACUCCAAAACAUCUACAUCUCAGAAACAAGGUAGGUGUGGUUGUUUGCUUUGUUUUGUUUGUGGGGUUUUUUUGUUUUUUUUUGUAUUUUCCCUGUAUUUACAUGUAGGAUUUAACUGGUAACUGUGUGUCGUGCCUUGACAAUGUUGACUUUUUAAAUUAUAACUCCUGUAUUGAAAAGUUACCUCCAUUUGUCAAUGAAAUUGAGCAGUCAGUGUAUAAAAGGUAAAUCUCAAUGUUCUAAGUCAGUAGGAACGUUAUACCACUGAAAUAUUUAUUAACCUUGAGAAUUUGAAAUGAACGCAUGCUUUGCUCACGGUCUUAAUGGGACAUCAUUUCACCUAAGCACAAAAUGCAGGUAGAUGUAUGGUAUUUUCUUCUUACGUUAUCAGCAGCCUAUUGACAUUAUUUUACUUUUCAAGUAUAUUUUAUUUUUAACGAUAAUUAUUUUCUAGAUUGUUUCACAACAUGCUUUUAAUUAGGACAACAAAUUUAAAUUUGCCUUUAUUUCCCUUUCUCAAAGUGUUCUUCAUUCCCUAUUAGUUUCCCACAGAGAAUUUCUUAAAUGAAGAGGUUUUGUUUCAGAAUUCGUAAUCUCCAGAACAGACUUAUAUUUCAUUAUCAUAAAGUCUCUUUCACACAGCAAGCUGCUGUUUUUCUGAGCUGUGCUCGGAAAGCUUCAUAAGGCAAGAGGUUCAGUGAACCUCUGGUCCCCUAGGGGUCAGUGUGCGGAACACACAGACACCUAUACCUUGUAUCAUCUCUUAAAACCCUGCAAAUGCUGCCUACCCUCUCGGCCGGCUUGGUUGUUAAACCAUCCUAGUAUACACCAGUGUACAGGAAGAGAUGUCAGCCAGUCCCUCGCCAAAAUAUGGUGCUCACUUAGGAGCGCUGGUCGGACCUUCAUUCCAGAUUGCUGAACUGCCACCAAGUCUCUCUGAUAACAGACACACAAUCUGCCAUUUGUCAAAAAUCAGUUUCAUGAGAAUCCGUCCUUGAUUUUUUUAAUCCAUCUUGGUAAAAGACCUUAAGGCGUGAUUCAGCAGUCAGAGCUGAUAAAACGUUUCUUAUGUAAUGCACAAGAAAUCCAGUUUAAUCUGGACAUCACCACUUGUAAGUUUUAGGUUAACAAAACAAAAGCAUAGAGUUAAUAUUCAUGAUUUCAACCCUGCGUGACUGCACAUUUAACCAUGCACUGAAUGCAUAUGCAUUAGCUGAAUGAUACUCGGACUUGUAUCCAAUUUUUUCAGCAUUUUUUCUUUUACUGACCUUAAAAAAAACAUGUAUUACUUACUGUGAUUUAGCCAGAAAUGUACCUGAUGUAGUGUUGCCUUCAGACCUGGAAUAAAGACACUGGUGCUAUGUUCUGAAGAUGACAGCAUUGUACAAAUCUUCCGAUGUUCCAGGAGAAUCCUGUAAGGUGCCAGAGAAAAGGUUUACAUUUGAAAUGUGCACCAGGUAAUGGCUCGCAUCGUGCGCAUUGCGGAGGGGCAACUAUAACACAGAAUUAAAGGCAACAAAGGAAAAAAUUGGCAGGAAGAACCAAUGGCUUGAAAGAGGCAUUUAACCAAAUGUUAAUCAAGACCAAACAACAGAGAUGUGAAAGUAUGGUUAGUGGUCACAGUUUUCAGUCCAUUCAGUAUAACUUCUGAAGAGGAAGGAAUCACUAAAGUAUGGCACAGUGUUAUAAAUGGUAUUUGAACACAAUGUAAUAAAAAAUACAAACUAAAAGAGAAUCAAUGAAGUUCGGCAGAAGGGCAGAUGUGAUGAAGUUGCCCCAUAGUUUCAUUUUGUAUCUUAAAAGUGGAAGACUUCCAAGCGAGGACAUGGAGUUUGAGCACUAGAAAAGUCAUCUCAGUGGUGGGUAAAAGGAAAUGGGAUAAAGAAAUUAAGGAAAAAAUAUAGGAGAAAAUGUUUUUCUGGACAUGAAUGUUGUGUCCUAGAGGGCAGUACAUAGCUUGACAUCCAGCAGCAAAUGCCAUAGUAAAAUGUCUAACAGCAAAAAGUAAUCAAGGUUAAGGAAUGAAAACACUCACACAGUGGCACACAGGAAUAAAUUAAGUUAAAAGACUGUAACACUGAUAAGAGAAAAAGGGACAGCCUGAAAUUGUAUACAAGAUUGAUUUUUAUAAUAUGCAUAAGCAAGAAAUGUUUGUAAAGGCUGAAAGGAGUAUUAUGGUGGGGAAAAGAGAUACAGAACAUACAAUAGUUUUUUGCCAGGGAGUGACACCAAAAGAAGAUAAAACUAGAUAUACAAAAAAAAUGCCAGAUAGGUAUCAAAGGGAAUCAGUUUCAUAUAAAAGAGGAUCAAAAAAUAACAGUACCUGAAGAUUGACAUAGCUUUGGAGUGAGCGGAGAGCUGUGCCACAAUUCCAAAUGAAAUCCAGUGGGUCAGGUAAGCCUCUCGGAGAUGCGCAGAUGGAACUGCUUUAGGAAAUAAUUAGAAGGAGCCCAACUUGUCUGUCCUAAGAGAGGGUCUGGUGCAUGGAGAAUUUUUGCAAGUUCCUUGCAGGAUUUAAGAUUUCAAGUUUAACAGUGACAGUUCCCAAACGAUCACAGUAGAACUGAGAACAACUGGUAAAUAAGAGGAGCAGUGAGAAGGUAACAGUUCCAGAGGUGACACCAUUUCUUGGGAUGUAAGAGGCGAGCAGACAGUUUCAGGGGAAGUGAUUACACAAAGCUGAAUGAAGGAACAUCACGCAAGACAAAGUUCAAUGACACAGUAUUUGAAAUUCUUAUUUAAGCAUCUGUUACUCAUUGCUAAGUUGUAAAUGAACUUCUUACAGUAAAGAGGAAAAAGAAUCUCAUUAAUUUUUCAACUCUUCAACAGAAUCUUAGUACAAAGAAGAGAGAAGAACAACUCCACAGUCUCUCCCAACAUUAAGAGACCAAAGAGCUGUAAAUACGUGUAGGCAGGUGCAUGCAUGUAUUUGUGAUUCUUGCCACUCUUUCUUACAAAAUUAUUUUGUAAUGAAAUUAAUAUGACAUGGUCAGAUGAAUUCUGUAUCUAGUUUCAUGCUAGAAAGCAGGGAACAAGCAGAAUGUGACAGACUGAGAAGAAAAAUCCGGGCAGGUAAGCCAUCUCGCUGGUUUCUUAUUCUUCAUUCUCUAAACAUUAUAAAUAACCUUCAGAGUUCCUCAGAUGUGAGAAACUAAAUCACAAGAAGCAUAAAAAGCAGUGAGGGAGGGCACAGUAAGUCAAGGCAACCGCUAGAAUGCUACACCAUGUAACCAGAUCUGAAAUUACACACAGACCUUCCAAUUAAAGCUCAAAAAUGUAUUAGAAGGCAAGGUACUUACUUGGAAGACAACACAUGUGACGUGGGAACUGUGUUCAUCAGCAGAGUGCACUGAAAUCAUGAUGAUCCAAACGCAGCCUGGGUGUAAACAUCUGUCCCCUCACAGCUGCCUGAGUGGGGACCCUGAAGUCAAAACAAAGCUGUUUGUUAAAGCGGAAUACAAUACUGCACAAUGCCUGUUGUGGUGUUGCUAAUAAAAUCUAAGAUGGGAGAGCAAACUGAAAAUACCCAUAACAUUAAAAUUGUUAUAUUGUGAAACGGAAGAAUUCCUAGUGAAAAAGCUCUCUAGACUUACAGCGGCAGUGGCUCCUUGGCUUGUGUCCAUGCUGUACAAGCACUUCACCUUCUGUGGGCUGUGAGGGCACUGGGGGAUCUGCGACUGCCAUAGGAAACUCUUGCAUCUGAUACUUAAUUUAUUGUGCAACACAAUGCUUUGGAAAGCAAAAUGAAGGCUUUACUUCUCUAAAUAAUCCUCCCUUCCCCACUACAGUCAUUGUCUUUGUAGUAUUUUAUGAUUUGUCAUAUAACACCCUGGGAUAUUGUCCUACAGAGGACGUUAUUAUAAAUACAUGGCUGAAAUGAAAUACCUAUACGGUGUUCCUCACUCACAGUAUAACUUGAGCUGUGGCAGACUGGGCUAUAUGUAUAUGUUAAUAUUUUGAGUUUUCCAAUUUUUGUAAUAAAAAGCAAAAAAAGCAAAGAAGAAAACAAUCUUCACAUUGAUUUAGGACUUCAGGGAGAAGAAUAAAGCUAUUCCAUCUAUUUUACAAAUGUGAAUAUGCUUAUAACAUUGAUCUCAUCGGUGUAAAUCAAUAAUACCCAGAGCUUCCCUGUCCCCCACAGACUGUCUGCAAAUUAUAAAUGGUGGUUACAAAAGUAUAAUCAGGGUGAAAUAUUUUCAAAUCUUGUAUUCUACACGAGCUGUAAUUCAAAAAAGCAGCAGAUCUCUUGGAACGUAGAGAUUUGAUGCUUUAAUGAGUGCACUAUUUUUUCUAGUGAAGCACAACCAAUUAAAUCGAGCAUCCAGUCUUCCGCUGAAGGAACAGUCUGCAGCUUCCAAAUCACUGCAGUUCUCUCUUUCGCCAUUACAGGAAAAUCUUCUCCUGUCACCAAGCUCAGUGCACUCAUAAAGCACAGAGCAGCUGACAGCUAACAUUAGUAGUGCUCAAUAUCAUCACACGGGGCUGUGUGUCUGACACAGGGAGCCACUAGGAGACACAAGAAAACAGCGGAACAUAUUUUGAAACUACAUCUUACACUGUGGGGUAAAAAGCCGUGUUUCACAGCUUUUUCAAGGCAUCGGUCCAUUUCAAAAUUAGUCUUAAAGAAAAGAAAAAGCAGCAAGGCUCAACAGGUUCAACUCUUGCCUUUGUAGGAGCAGUGAACCCAGGAACGCACCCUCCUCCUUACCUAUGCAUCUGUAUUUGAUUAGGAAUAUAAAUAGAGCAGUUGCAAUGAAGAGAAGCCAGAAGAACUUCUCCUGAGGUGAGCACAAGGGAUGGAGGAUGAGAGUCAAAUCUACUGAAGUGGAUUUCUAUUCUAUUCUAUUCUAUUCUAUUCUAUUCUAUUCUAUUCUAUUCUAUUCUAUUCUAUUCUAUUCUAUUCUAUUCUAUUCUAUUCUAUUCUUUUCCUCCUCCUGAUACAUUUUGCCCGAGACCUAAACUGGUAGGAAAAAUCUGAUCUUAGUCUUCUGUUCCACAGAGACUGGCUUGUUUGUGAAUACCCGGAGAACGUAACAACUAUCUCCUGCCUACUAAAUGUUUUUCAAAUCCCAAGGCCCCGAGAGAACAUCACUGCUAGAAACUUUGAGAUGUGGGAUGUUAGGUCCUUCCAGACUUAGGAAGACUUUAAUUAACAGUUUUGUGUAUCCAAUGUUUGGACUUUGGUGAAUUUAGCCCUGACAGAUUUGUCCGGAUUCCUACAGAAAGGCUAGAACAGAUUACAGACUUUGAACUCACAUCUCUCAAAGCUCCAGCUUCUUUUUUUCAGCUAUCAAUUUGAUUUUACCAAUCAGAACUGCAUAGUUAAAGCAAGUCUAAAAAUACCAGACCAUGGUUUUAGAGGAGAAGGUAGCACUUGAUCCCCCUCUCUGCCCCACAUUCCUCAGAUUAUGGAGAGAUAGAUAGAUAGAUAGAGGGUUAUCCUUUUUUUUUCUGCUUUUCAAGGAACUCUGUGUCUGGCUUCAGCAAUGACACAGUCCUAUUGCCUGCUAAUGAAUAUUGCAGGUAAGAUGGUAGCAGCCAACCUCAGAGAUGGCCAUGCUUUAGGAACCGAUAGGCUGCUAUUAUAAAGAUCACUGUAAAUAAAAUAACUCUAAGUGAGAAGCAUAAAUUAGUUAGUUAAUGUGUUUAUACCAGACCACAAGCAGUAAGUCUUGGUGCUUUCUUCCUUAUAGGCAAUAAUACUGACAGCAGUGAACAUUUCUAUUGUUAAAUGCUUUGCUUCGGUCUCUGCCAUUUAAAACAAGAGAAGUCUGAAAUCUUCCCCAGUUAUCAGUGGAGGUACAGAAAGGCUGGUGCUGAUACACACAAGUCAUUUUACUACUUGGUUAGCAGCAUUUGACUAGUGUGAUACAAGUUCCUUAUUAUUUGCUUUAUAGUUCUAGUUAGGUUACAAGGUUAGGUUACUUUAUUCCAGAAUGACAACUAGCCAGUUUUUUUCUGACUUCUGAAACUACCCAGUAAGAUGGAAAGUCCUGGAAGACAUCACCCAAUGACAGACUCCAUCACUAACUCAGGAAGCAGAUGGUAUGGUGUUUGUUCAAGCUUUCCAAACUGAUCUGGAAUUUGUUUUUUUUCUGACUAGAGUUUAAAAACUUUUCCAUGUUUAUUUUCGUUCCAAAGUUUCACAUUUUUUUUCCUAGGGAAAAAAAUCAAAACGAAACCAAAGCAGCCAAACACAAAGAAAUGCUGGUGUGUUUGUUUUGCUGCAUCCAGAGGUGACCCCAGCUUUGUGCUGUGUUCUUAUGUGCAUCUAUUGUAGCAGUUUGCAAGCUGCUCACACCUUUUAAUGAAGCUGUGCUCAAAGUAAACCCAUGGGUAGGCAAAUGCUAUUCUGUCCAUUUUACAGACAGAGAGCUGAAGCACAUGGGGAAUAAGUGAUUUGUUGAAGUUCUCACACUGUGUAUAGCAGAACAGGGACUUGAAGUCACCUUUCAGAUUACAGGGCUUGAACUUCUGCCUGAGGUACCUGCACAGCCCUUUCUGUGCCCCCUUCCCACAGCCUCCGCUCCAGCCUCCGCUCCAGCCUCCGCUCCUUCUGGGUCUGAGGCCAGCUAAAUCAUUUAAAUCACCUGGGACGUACAAAAAGUUAAACAUAAGAAGGCACAUUAUGCAUAAAUCUACUCCUGACGUACCAGCCUGUGAGACACUUGGCCUCUUAGAGGGUUCCUGGAGAGUGGACUAGACAGAAAAACUGAACUUACAGAAAUGGGUAUCAAAGAAGUGUCACAGAGAUGUUUUUCCGCUCUUUUUGGACCCUUCCCAGAGCUGAACAAUGUGUUGCUGGGAACACGGUGGACGCUUUCAGCUGCACCUCCUGAAACCAGCAUUGCUGAUUCACUAUGCAAGUUGCAGAUUUUUUUUUCCACUGUAAAGGUACUUAUUAACAUUCUACACUUGCAUAAGUAUCAAUAAAUACAAUCCAAUUUGGUAUUAAAUAAUAAAUAAUAUGUUAUAUAGCAUUAAAGAAAUACAUAUACUACAACAUAAAUAGAACAUGAUCUCAGCCCCUAAGGUUAUGGGUAUGGCUUGCAUUACAUCUGCCUAUGAGGAAAAUCAUAGGUUGUUGGGUUUUUUUUUUAAAGCAUGACUUACAAUUGUAAGCUGGCUCUAUGUAAUUCUCUAUCAAACUAGGUCCUUGGUUCAAAAGCACACUGAAAACUUCUCUUGUGUUUCACAUGGAGAGCCAAUAAUUGGCCUUAUUUAGUUUAGAUGAAAUAAAUAAUUUCACAGCCACUUCUCAUUUAAUAAGGUUGGCUAGAGCCUGCCUUUUUUCUCCUCAGCUUCUAUAUUUUUGUUUGGAGUGAACAUAAAAGCAUAUUUUCUUACCUGCUGAGUGUUCAUUAAAACCACUUCCAAAUCUUUGCAGCCAUUAGAGUCCUCACUAUGUUCUGAUCUUACUGGCAUAUUGAUUUAACUGUAAAAACAUUCCUUUCUUUAAAUCAUAAUAGUAAAGCUAUUAACUGAAAGUUAUGAAGGACAGCUCUUCAUCUAAAGGCCUCAACUGCUUGCAAACGUUUCAAAAAGGAAAAGAAAAAUCAACCCAAACCCAGAAGGUGUCUGAAGAAAGAAGAGUCACCCAAGGAGGAAUUCUACACCUCUUGCUGCAGUGCAGUUACUGUUACCACACCGGGUAUGGGGCUGUGCAAAACGUGCCUGGAGCACAAACCAAGACAGAGAGGAGGAAAUCGUCACCUGCAGCUCGAGGUUCUGGACUGGCCCGCCACAGCAGUUCACCAAAUCAAAGUCCUUCAGUGACAGCCGUCGUCUGAGCCUGAAGCCAGAGCUGCAGAAACAGCAGCCACAGCGUUGGUCUCCAUCGGAGGCCCUCAAGUCGGCCUCUCACCGCUGUACUCAGGCCGCUGCCCACACAGUGCACGUGGGUAACGCUCCCCUUAGCCUUAAGAACACUCCAUCGAGUUUGGUGACUGGUUAUCCUGGUUUGGUACUUGUAAGGCAACUAUGUAAAUCAUAUCUCUCUCCUAGAUGUCUGUUCAAACUGGGUAUCACCUGCUUGGGAAUUUCUUACCCUGUUCCUUAUCAUGUUACACAACUCCUCCCUGAGCUGGGAAAAUGGUAUGAAUGAUAAGAAUAGCCGCGAUAUUGGUAUUGAUAAUGAGUAUAAUUAUCUUGGUAGACAAAUGAACUCCAGAGCUCUAAUGUCACCAAAUGCUAUUAGAUACAGUUAAGGGAAAUACAUAACUAACCAGAAUUUUGAAGUUUCCACUGAAGCCUAUGAAAUACCCCCUUUGUGAAAUUAUAAUGUGAUAUUCUUUUGGGUUAGCAGUCUGUGCAAAAAUACUAAUCAGCUUUUCAGUACACAGACUGUUUGGGAAUGUUUUCCCCUGGUUAAGGUGACACAUUGCAUGUAAUAUAGUAGAUACAGCUGUAUUAAAAGCCUACUUAAGCUCUUCAUUACACCAGAAUUCUGUAAAUAACUUUGCUUUUUAAUUACCAAAGACUUUCUAUGCAUAAAAGCCCUAAAUUACAGACACAACAACAAUGUUCUGCAACAGCAAUAGAGAACACAGGUAUUAGAUCAUGUUACUUUAAAAUUCCAAUUCUCAGACGUCCAGCCAGCACACUGCCAAAAGAACACAUCUGAUUAAAGCCCUACCAGGCAAUCCUGAGGACAGGGUGCACAAACUGCCUGUCUGUCUGUCCUGAGACUACUGCACUACUAACUGCAGUCAGUUGUCGUAGCUGUGCUGCUCAAAGGACGUAAACAAGAUAAAAUCAUAGGAAAAACUUCAUUAUUGCCAGUAUUCAGAUAAGUUAAUAAAAGUUCUCUCUCCCUACCUCCCUUGUGCUCUCAUUGGGUACUGCUGAUUACUUCUCAGUGAAGGAGUUAAGAACAAUUAUGAUGCAAUUACAGAAGUCAUAAUUUUAAUGUCAGAUAGAAAUAUUGCAGUGCACACCACUGAAAUAAAUGUUAAGCUGUUGUCGAGAAAGAACUAGAUAAAUGAUAUGAUCCAUUCUCCACAUCUUACUGAGCAUACAGAGCUGUAACUAUGAUUCGAUUAGGUCUGUCUAGGCUGACAAAUUGUACGCUAAUGGAUAAAAUCUUAAUCACAGAAAUAAGGGCAUGAAAAUCAUUCAGUUUAGCUAAGAUGCUUCAUAAUUACAAGUUGCUCUUUCAUUUGUCCUAACUCGUAUUGGUGGCUCAGUCACACACCUCGUCAUUUUCUGAAAAACUCAACAUCUUUGCAACUUGGCUGUAAAAUUUUCCUUUUAACUUCAGUUUGCCGUUGAUGCAUCUCUAAAGAGUUUUGUGUUACUGUAUAUUAGGACCAUCCUAUAAAAACACAAUUUAUUUUACUACAUUAUAAAAGAAUGCCAGUUAUCCUGCCACAUCUGCGGUACCAGCACGGUCCCACGGGAAACACUCUGCAAUAGAAGGGAAUAUGUUACAAUUUGUUUGGAAACAUUUUUACAAUCACCAGGUGAGCAGGUAAUUGCUCACAUGAAAAUGGGUAUCUCAACACAUUAUCUCAAAGAUGGAGAUCACCGCGUGUGCACUGAAUAUCAGAAAAUGCUACUGGAUUUCUUUGGCAAAUCUAGCUAAAUAACUAGCUAAAUGAAAUAAGUAAUGGAAAUGGCCAUGCUCAUAUUUAAGGUAAGCUUGUAAGUUUUCAGUAGGAAAUGCCACUGAUUCUGAGAUAUUCAGUUCUGUUACCCGAUGUUGACCACGGCUUUGUACACCGGGGAGACAAAAGCAAUUUACAUGUAACCGUGAACCAGCUGGACUCUGCCAGAGCCUGGCUACACCAACUGCAGAACCAGGACUCCUCAAGACUGCAAUCUAAAUCACCGUAAUCUUCUGAUGAAGAUUGGGAUUUAAUGAGAGAUUGAGGGAAACCAAGUGUCCCUUAAUGAGGGAAGGCGAGUGUACAGGAACCUGAGGAGUCUGCAAAGUGUGGAUAGUACAAUACAGGCAAAUCCAUUUCAGAUCUCCAAGAGCCUUCUCUACCCCCUGCUGAUCCACCUGGAAGGCUUUUGCUCUCUCAGUCUCACUCUCUGAACUGAACAGUUUUCUUAUGGCUCCCAGCUAUGAAGUAGGAGAAGGACUUAACUUACUGUUUCCUUACACGCUCCCGUAUCACACAGCCUGUUCGCGCUGGGCUCGCAGAGGCAGCGUGCCCUCCUUCAGGUUCUGCGGGUUCUCCGCGGAGGAUCGCAGCUGUAUCUGUAGGACUGACUGCAUUUUCCUAGGAGAAAAGAUAUUCUAAAAUACAAAACUAAAAACUUCAAACAAAAAUGGCUUUUUGUUAAAACAUUUUGAAAAACAAACAUGUUCUUUCUCCUCCCAAGGAAAGUACAAAGCUAUUUUGAAAAAUAACUUCAAAAAUAAAAAUGCAACAGCUCAGACAUCCCACUGCAAAGGAGGAUCUGUUGGAAAAUGUCAGUUAUCUACAGGUAGAAUCAAGGGAGUUUAGUUUGCUCCCACAUACAUAUCCAAUGCUCUAAAACACACCUUCCAAUAUCUUCUGUUCGCCUUAUUUCUAAUUGCCUUUUUUUUUUGUUUGGUCAAUUUUAUUUCCGUUUCUAGGCAAUUUUCAAGAAAUCUUAAGCUUCCCCCCCUUUUCCCAGGUCUAAAUAUUCUGCAUACAUCUGCGCUCUAUCUAGAACUACAUUUCUACAGUCCUCUGUUUCUGACAGCGUGGUGUUCAUGACGGGUGAUCACCCGAAGGUUUGUAAUGCUACAAAUAAAAGUAGAGAUGCUAAGCGCAUCCCUGUUGUUACGAUGAGCUGAACAAACAAAAUCCAUUAUUUUGCAUUCUGUAAAUGGACUUUUAUCUUGUCCUUCAAUACUCAGAUGGUUUCCCUUGGUAAAAAAAUUUAGUAGAUAAUUUUACAGCUGAAUAACAUUUGACCUUGGAGCUGCUCAUUGAAAUCAAUGAGGCAAGUUGAUUUUUCUGCAGCAUCUAUGCACUAGAAAGGCACUUUAGGCAAUUCCAAACAUGAGAUAGCAUAGCAACGAGAAACGCUGGUUUCUUGAAACAAGCAAGAGCGUGUAUGCUCUACAAGGCUUGUAGUUACUUCUGUUAAACUUCUAAAUACAUAUUAUACAUUUUAUCAUAGCAGGACUCAUAAACAACUUCCACAAGUGCUGCACUAAUCAGGAGAUGUAACGAUGCUAACAGUUUCAUCACAGCAGAGUAUUCCUAGCAGUUCUGAUAUUAUUUUUAAUUGAAAAAUCUCUCCAAGGACGAUGAGCGGAGGUUUAUUUGAAACCAACACCUACUGCUACAUGGACUUGGUUUAUAAAAGCACAGCUGAAGCCUACGAUGCUAGGCUGACAUUAUUAAUCUAAAGUCGCAAAGUUUAGAGCAUAGAAAUCCAAAUCCAGACCACACCGUUAAUGCGUGGUCUGGAAGCACAUCCUUUAAACACCAUGUUUGUAUCUGUAGCUUUAUUCUUCUCUGUCACCUGAAGCCCCUCUUCACCAAAAAUCAAAAUCAUUGAUUCAGUAUUGAAUUUGUAUGAAUCCUGAUGAUUAUUCAUGGAAUAAAACACUGUAUGAAAUUGUGUUAGUAUAUUUAACAGACAGAUUAAGGAUUUCUGGGCGCUCUAAUCUGCAGUGUCUGCUCUCAUCUGAAUGAACGUCUCCCGAAGGAUAAAAGCAUGCAACUAAAUUCAAACCUAUAUGUAUGUUUGAAAUCAAAAUGUAACUGCCUAUCUGGGGAAAAACAAGUAGCUGGUCCUAGUCCUUUGCAGACACACAUUUAGAACAAUGAACUCCAGCAACCUCUUUUUCCCUUUGUUUUCUCCUUUGUGCAGACAUUCACAAUUUCCUCCUCCUCCGCCCCCCAGCCCAUGGCAGGCUUCUCACAUUUGAAUUUAUUAUGUGUUGUGCAAGCACAACCGUAUAAUUAUCUCCAGUUCUUCCAUGAAUGACCGUCCAGAGAACAGCUACUGGAUCGCUCAUACAAUAUGCUCAAAGACAGAAGCAAACUUGGAUGAUCGAGGGUAAAUGGCAGAUGCCGCUCCAUCACGACAUGAGAGGCAAUGCCGAACAGCCGUGAUUUUUCCUUAUGCCAACUAAAGGACUGGAAAGCAGAGAUCUCAGUAUUUUUCAAAAACUUGUAAUAAUGUGUAAUAUUGUUUUUCCCCAGAGAAAACAAACACAUGCGUGGUCGCUGCUACCUGAGCUCUGUUGAAAGGUCAAUAAAAGCUGCUAUUUCAGUUUUAAACUAUGAAGGUCUAUAACAUGGAACAAUUACCCCCUACAUGAUAUAAAUUACAAAUUAAUUUUUGCUGAUGAUUAUACAGUGAAUUCAUUUUGGAGAACAACUCACUAGAGCAUAAAUGUCAAUUUCAUUAUUAUUUUUUUUUUAAACUAGGAUUCAAUUUUGCAUUUCUAUCAUAUUAAAAAAAAUCAUUUUCUGUGUAACUCAGUGGGAUAUUCACAUGUGCUCGGAAACUAAUGAGGUGUGGGAAAUAGAUACACUGUCAUAAAAGGAAAAUUACUAAACGAGAAAAGAAGAUUUUAAAAGGAUCUCUCAAAGUAAAAAGAACAAUUUCAUCACCAAAUGGGACUGCCGCUUCACUAUAUCGCUGCUUUUUGCCAUCCCAAAUGGCCUGUUCAUUUCUGUAACUAUUUGGGAACAAUCUCCUGCUUUUACCGAUUGAACGAAUCCUGUUCAUUAAACACCUUUGUAAAGUAGUGUUAAACCCAAAGAAGUUUAUAAAGAUCAUUUUAAUAAUAA